UAUUGUUAAAUAUGCUUUAAGGUUACUUAUUUACAUUUCUGUCUUUUAAUUGUUAAUGUAUGCACAUAAUAGUUUGUUGAUGGGAAUCUAACACAGCCAGACUUCAGCAGAUUCUAUUCUCAGUGAAGCGCUAUUAUGACGCGAGUGAUGCAGCAGGUAUAUAUGAACAUACUGAACUAGAAUUCUCUGUUGGGUGAUUUGGCGAUUGAUGCGGUUGGUGUUUUUGGUGCGGUUGGCGAGUUUCUACAGUUAUUGAAUUCCUUUGAUUAUUGAUUUUCGGUUUUUGACUCUCUUUCGGACUUUGACUAUCGGCUUUGGAUUUGCGACACAUUUUGAUUCUCGGUUUUUGACUCCCUUCUGUUUUUGACGCUCGAUUUUUGACUUCUUUGGAUUCCCGUUUUUGACCCUUUUCUGGUUUUGACUCUCGGCUUCGGACUCUCCUCGGAUUGGUUAACAGCUCGGCGACUGAAAAAAACGCCGAUCCUUUCAUUGAAAUGGGAGUGUUCGGAGUUUUAUCAGUGUGUGUAAGUAUGCAAUAUACACAACACAGCAGACUAAGGGCGUCUUUGCGUGAUUACAGUGAUUACAGGAAGGGUUUUUUAGACGCAAAGACGCGUUCUGUGUAAUUUUUGACAUGGAAAAAAAGAAUAAUCGCACUGGCUAUGGCCUCCUCCGCCAUGUUACCGUCAAAUAAAUCAGUUGCCAUAGAAUUUAAUGCUCUACCCUGUAUCAUGUAAGAUCUAUGUGUAUCCCAGAUUUUUGUUUGUUUGGUUGUUUGUUUCUUAUGUUAAAUGCCAUUGUAUGUUUUUCUGAAAGUUGAAUAAAAAAUAAAUAAAUAAAUAAAAAUAUAAAAAUAAAUCAGUUGCCAUGCCAACUGUAAACAAAAGCUCGCAACGCUUGCCCCGCCUCCGAGUUCUUCUGAUUGGUCCACUGGCGCUGCGUGUAAAAGUUGUAAUUCUUUGAACUUGACAUGGCGUCUUAAAAUGCGGCGCGUUUUUUUUUCAGUCUUGUUUUCAUUAUCAAGUAUUGAAAUUAACAAACGAUAUCCUGUAAAUUGGUGUUAAUGUACAUGGAGAAACGCUAUAAUAAAUGUUAAUGUUUCCUGACUAUACACUUUGUUACUAAAAUGCGCACUUGUUAGACAGCUUCAUGUAAACUUAUUUUCUUGUGCACUCUUUACAGUACAUUAUUUCCCAGUAAACCUUUCUGAUUUGUUUGUUUUUCCUGAACUUUUCCUGAACUUGUGCAGCUGGAAACACAGAGAGCUGUGUUUGGUGUGCCCCUGAUCGGCCUGAGGAGGAGUGGACAGAUGAGGCAGGGUCUUCCUCUAGCGCUCAUGCACAUAGUGGAGUUUGUGGAGAAGCAUGGUCUCAGAGAGAGUGGACUGUUCAGGGUUGGCGGGAAAGUGAAACGCUGCCAGGAAUUGAGGAAAAGUUUUGAUCAAGGAGGCGUUCCGGAGUUUGACAGUGAGGAUAUUCCUACUCUCGCCUCAUUACUGAAACUUUUCCUCAGGGAAUUACCUGGUGGACUUAUUCCAGAGCCACACAGGACACAACUGCUGAAUGUGUUCAGGGAUUCAAAAGAGGAAGAAAUGAAUCAGGCUUUGAGGACAAUCCUGAACAGUCUUCCUGAGGAACAUUUUAACGUCCUCUGCUACCUGUCAUUCUUCCUGUCCCGUGUGGCUGCCGGGAGUCAUCUAAAUCUUAUGACAUCCAAGAACUUGUCAAUAGUUUUUGGACCCACCAUCUUUCAGAGGCAGGGGACACUCACUGGACUGAUGAAGAGUGUGUCCAACAGCUGCCACUCACAGAAAUCAGAUCAGAGCUACCUAAAAUUGGACGACUUGGGCGAUUGAGAAAAAGAUUAAGAAGUUUUGGAAGAAAGUUUUGCUCAUGCUUUGGCAGUAACAAAAUAGAGAAUGGAGAGGUCUCUGCAUGAAUGGAGACCUAGACGUAGGUCAGUAGAAGAUAAUUGGGCCGAUGAUCCUGACUGCAAGACACUGCAAUCGUUAAGGGUCACUGGAAGACAUUGUGGCCGGUGAGGGUCUCCAGAAGAAAAUGGGGCCGCCCUGUAAGACACUGGGGCCGAUGAGCCUCAUCUCGAGACACUGGAGCUGGUGACCUUCACCGUAAGACACUGGGGCUGGUGUGGGUCAUCGGAAGACAUUGGGGCUGCUGAGGGUCACUGGAAGACACUGGGGUCAGUGAAAGUCACCACACAGCACUGGGGUCAGAGAGGGUGACCCUCACCACAAGACACUUGGGCCGGUGAAGGUCACCACAAGACACUUGGGCCGGUGACCCUCACCGUGAAACACUAGGGCUGGUGAGGUCUCCACAGAGCGCUGGGGCCGGUGAAGGUAACCGCAAGACACUAGGGCAGGUGAGGGUCACCGGAAGACAUUGGGGCCAGAGAGGUUCACCGGCAGACUUUGGGGUCGGUGAGGGUCACUGCACAGCACUGGGGCCGAUAAAGGUUACUGUAAGACAUUGGGACCGGCAUCGCAAGACACUGGGGUCGGUGAGGGUCGCUGGAAGACACUGGGGCUGGUGAGGGUCACCGGCAGACAUUGGGGUCGGUGAGGGUCACUGCACAGCACUGGGGCUGAUAAAGGUUGCUGCAAGACAUUGGGACCAGCAUCUCAAGACACUGGGGCCGGUGACCCUCACCACAAGACACUUGCCGGUGAAGGUAACCGCAAGACACUAGGGCUGGUGAGGGUCACCAAAAGACAUUGGGUGCAGUAAGUUUCACCGCACAGCAUCGGGGCUGGUGAAGGUAACCGCAAGACACAAGUGCUGGUAAGAGACACUGGGGUUGGUAAGGGUCACAGCACUGGGGUCGGUGAAGGUAACUGCAAGAUACAAGGUCUGGUGAGGGUCACUGGAAGACACUGAAGAUGGUUGUUACAUCUCCAUUAAAUGAACGUGUACUGCAUUAAACGACGACACUGACACGAGCCUUGUACUGAUCUGUUCACUGGAUGACAUUCAGGGCAUACUGCGCAUGUGCCAUAAAACAGAGCAUCGGUACGGGGUGUCGUAAGGACAAUGUACAACACUUGAAAUGCAGUACAUAACAAUGGUGAUGGACGACAGCUGGUGUGAUUAUGAAGAUACAGACAAGACCGAUGCUGAUGUUGACUCUGAAGCUGAUUCAAUUAAAGCUUGUUAUUUUCAGUCAAUUAGUA